rnacentral:rRNA from 1 species
GACGAACGCUGGCGGCGUGCUUAACACAUGCAAGUCGAACGAAGAGCGAUGGAAGCUUGCUUCUAUCAAUCUUAGUGGCGAACGGGUGAGUAACGCGUAAUCAACCUGCCCUUCAGAGGGGGACAACAGUUGGAAACGACUGCUAAUACCGCAUACGAUCUAAUCUCGGCAUCGAGGAUAGAUGAAAGGUGGCCUCUACAUGUAAGCUAUCACUGAAGGAGGGGAUUGCGUCUGAUUAGUUAGUUGGAGGGGUAACGGCCCACCAAGGCGAUGAUCAGUAGCCGGUCUGAGAGGAUGAACGGCCACAUUGGGACUGAGACACGGCCCAGACUCCUACGGGAGGCAGCAGUGGGGAAUCUUCCGCAAUGGACGAAAGUCUGACGGAGCAACGCCGCGUGAGUGAUGACGGCCUUCGGGUUGUAAAGCUCUGUUAAUCGGGACGAAAGGCCUUCUUGCGAAUAGUGAGAAGGAUUGACGGUACCGGAAUAGAAAGCCACGGCUAACUACGUG